CCUACGGGAGGCUGCAGUGGGGAAUAUUGCACAAUGGGGGAAACCCUGAUGCAGCAACGCCGCGUGAGCGAUGAAGGCCUUCGGGUCGUAAAGCUCUGUCCUAAGGGAAGAAUACUGACGGUACCUUAGGAGGAAGCCCCGGCUAACUACGUGCCAGCAGCCGCGGUAAUACGUAGGGGGCUAGCGUUAUCCGGAAUUACUGGGCGUAAAGGGUGCGUAGGCGGCCCUUCAAGUCAGAGGUGAAAGGCUACGGCUCAACCGUAGUAAGCCUUUGAAACUGGAGGGCUUGAGUGCAGGAGAGGAGAGUGGAAUUCCCAGUGCAGGGGUGAAAUGCGUAGAGAUUGGGAAGAACGCGAGUUGAGAGGGCGGCUCUAUGGAGUGUAAGUGACGCUGAGGCACGAAAGCGUGGGGGGCGAACAGGAUUAGAUAUCCGUGUAGGC
rnacentral:rRNA from 1 species